CCCCACAACUGCAGGUGGGGUUACCUUCUUAGAGCCCCAAGGCCACAGCACACCAAAGCCUCAUUCCGGGACCCUGGGCAGAAGUGUAGAGAAAUAUUUCUUGGUAGACUGCCUUGUUUUUUGGACAUCUCAUUGAUAGAGUGAGGGCAUCUAUUUCUUUCCUCUUUCAUGGGGCAAUGGUACCUCUCAGAAGUUCUGUGAGUGAGCCUGAGGUAGACUCUGAAUGGUGGCUAGGAUCUCGAUGCAUGACUGAAGGUGGGUCUUUUAGGUAGUUAGAAUAAAAUAUGCAGAGGUAAGAAAACAUCAAUUGUGUGUGUGUGUGUGUGUGUGUGUGUGUGUGUGUGUGUUUAGACCUGUGGGGAGGAUGAAAGAAGGACAACUCUGGAUGACAGGGCUGUGUAGUUAUAGUUACUAGGCAUUGUAGUACCAAACAAUAAUGAGCAAUGAGAGUUGACUAGAAGGUUAGAGAACCGUUCACACCUGGAUGUGCGUCUCUGGUCCUGGUGGGUGAUGAGGCCUCUGUCUCUCUGCAGAUCCCCUCUGAAGCAGCUGGGGGCUCAUCUGAGAAACUUCUCAUCCUUGAGGAGUGGUCAGCUAGGAGAGGAAGAAGGGAUGGUGUGGAGCCCACCCAUGGCCUAAGGAGCCAGUGUAGUCCACAGCCUGUGGGACCAGGAGCCUCCAGGUGGGCGACUCAAGAAGAAUCGAUGCUUCAGCCCCCAGCGACAUGUACACGGUGUAAUGACAGAUGGUGAUGCAUGUUCUCUGGAAACAGCUUGGCUCGGGGCUCACCAGCUGGGUUAUGGAGUCAGCAGUCACUUACAGUUCUGGGGCUGACUUCAGCCAGUUCCUGAAGCUCCCUGAGCCUUACUGAAAGUGGGACUAAUAAUUUCUAUCUUACUGGGUAACUAUGAAAAUGAAAAUAAAUAAUGAAUAAUUGCUCGGUGAAACUUGGUGUUGAGAAAUACUUCUUUUUAUUUUCCUACAUCAAAUGAAAAUAAAUCUAAA
rnacentral:lncRNA from 1 species